rfam:Clostridium botulinum A str. ATCC 3502 complete genome
UAUGAAUAAGAUUUAGUGGUUCUUAAUUUGACGUAAUUAAAAAUUUUUGUAAUUCCUCACAGGACGUGAGGAGCCAGUAGUGAAGCCAAGGAUGGCGCCUCUAAUGGGUAAAAAAUUUUAAUGGAGUCAAAUUUAGAACUUCUUAGUAAAAUGGAGU